UACGUAGGCAGCAAGCGUUGUUUCGGAGUUACUGGGCGUAAAGGGUGCGUAGGCGGUCCUAUAAGUAUGGUGUGAAAUCUCCCGGCUUAACUGGGAGGGUGCGCUAUAGACUGUGGGACUAGAGUGUGGGAGAGGAAAGUGGAAUUCCUGGUGUAGCGGUGAAAUGCGUAGAUAUCAGGAGGAACACCGGUGGUGUAGACGGCUUUUCUGGACCGUAACUGACGCUGAGACACGAAAGCGUGGGUAGCAAACAGG
rnacentral:rRNA from 1 species